GCAUAUGAGCAAAUACCCCACUGUUCAACCUAAAAAGUAAUGCAAUUAUUGUUAGAUGAUACAAUUUUGAAUCAUUUGACAUUUAAGUGAUGCUAGUGAUGCUGCACAGGGGUGUAGGCUACUAACUUCUGUUGUAUAAUCUACGGUAGGGUGUGUCGUGUUAGCUGGUCAUUCUAUAUCUGACUCCACCUUUGUGGUUUCUCUUUAUCGUUCGAUUUUGCCCAAAUUCACAUUCUUCUGUGCUUCUGCGCAUUAGCUUCGCCCGCGAAACAUCUUGAAUGGACUGCAUAACGUAACUUUCGUGCAAUAUCCCUGACAAGGCAUGUAGGUUCCAUCAGGGUAGGCUAAGAAAACAUGUGUGACUAUGAGAGAGAAUGCGCUAUAGGCUGUCUUGGCUCGGGGGUUGAUGACGAACGGCAAAGGCUCAAGGUAUGCGUUCACUCCCUUGCUCACCCUCAGCUCGCUUGGCUGCUGGAGUUUCGGGCGGUUUACUCGUUGUAACUGUUCAGUGGGCUACUCGUAAUCUAUAAUGGGGGAUCUAUAAUGCUUUAUAACCGGACUGCAAGCGACAUGAAUACACCCCGGUGCCAGAGGACCUUUUCAAUUCAUUGACUUGAAGACGAAUGGAGACAAUUAAUUCGUAGGCUAUAACAGCAGAGUAGCCUACAAGGUUGUCUCACAUCAAGAUGCUUUUGAUCGAAAUUGUACUCCUGUCGUUAUUUACAAUAAAUACAGCACAGUCUCCAGAUCACCCACCAAUCAUCAACAGCGAUAUAUUUCCAGCAAUGCCUCAUCUCCUGGGACAGUCAUAUCUCAGUCUGGUCUUGCUGGCGCUGACAGUGGGGUUGUCCGGAGGAGUGUACCUCUGUGUGCUACGCUACAUCUGCGUUGGUUGUUGCCAGCCUGUCCUGGUUGGACCUGAGGAUCAAAACAUCUCUGGGGUCGUCUAAUACGACUCCGUGUCUGUCUCCGAAUGCCCCACAGUGUCUUGAGAAUACACUGAAGCAGCUGCACAGCAAAGGAUCACACCUCUAUCGACAUUGUAACAGUUGCCAAUAUGGAGGCAGAGUCAGACCUGACCGCACGUUUAGGAUUUUUUCCCCCCUCUUUGGGAAUAUGUGAAAGGAUUUGGGAUGCAUCAUAUUCCCCAGCGGAAACACUUCACGAAGUGGC